UGGGGAAUUUUGGACAAUGGGCGAAAGCCUGAUCCAGCAAUGCCGCGUGUGUGAAGAAGGCCUUCGGGUUGUAAAGCACUUUUGUCCGGAAAGAAAUCCUUGGCUCUAAUACAGUCGGGGGAUGACGGUACCGGAAGAAUAAGCACCGGCUAACUACGUGCCAGCAGCCGCGGUAAUACGUAGGGUGCAAGCGUUAAUCGGAAUUACUGGGCGUAAAGCGUGCGCAGGCGGUUUGCUAAGACCGAUGUGAAAUCCCCGGGCUCAACCUGGGAACUGCAUUGGUGACUGGCAGGCUAGAGUAUGGCAGAGGGGGGUAGAAUUCCACGUGUAGCAGUGAAAUGCGUAGAGAUGUGGAGGAAUACCGAUGGCGAAGGCAGCCCCCUGGGCCAAUACUGACGCUCAUGCACGAAAGCGUGGGGAGCAAACAGGAUUAGAUACCCUGGUAGUCCACGCCCUAAACGAUGUCAACUAGUUGUGGGGAUUCAUUUCCUAGUAACGUAGCUAACGCGUGAAGUUGACCGCCUGGGGAGUACGGUCGCAAGAUUAAAACUUCAAAUGAAUUGACGGGGUCAUAGCUGUUUCCU
rnacentral:rRNA from 1 species